rnacentral:rRNA from 1 species
UACGUAGGGUGCAAGCGUUGUCCGGAAUUAUUGGGCGUAAAGAGCUCGUAGGCGGUCUGUCGCGUCUGCUGUGAAAACCUGGGGCUUAACCCCGGGCCUGCAGUGGGUACGGGCAGACUAGAGUGCGGUAGGGGAGACUGGAAUUCCUGGUGUAGCGGUGAAAUGCGCAGAUAUCCGGAGGAACACCGGUGGCGAAGGCGGGUCUCUGGGCCGUAACUGACGGCUGAGGAGCGAAAGCAUGGGGAGCGAACAGG